GUCAGGAUGGCCGAGUGGUCUAAGGCGCUACGUUCAGGUCGUAGUCUACUCUGUAGGCGUGGGUUCGAAUCCCACUUCUGACA
rfam:Strongylocentrotus purpuratus Contig112380_fixed, whole genome shotgun sequence.